UACGUAGGGUGCGAGCGUUAAUCGGAAUUCUGGGCGUAAAGCGUGCGCAGGCGGUUCGUUGUGUCGGCGGUGAAAGCCCCGGGCUUAACCUGGGAAUGGCCGUUGAAACUGGCGAACUGGAGUGUGGCAGAGGGGGGUGGAAUUCCGCGUGUAGCAGUGAAAUGCGUAGAGAUGCGGAGGAACACCGAUGGCGAAGGCAGCCCCCUGGGCUGACACUGACGCUCAGGCACGAAAGCGUGGGGAGCAAACAGG
rnacentral:rRNA from 1 species